UUAGAGCAUCCGGCUCAUAACCGGAUGGUCACUGGUUCAAGUCCAGUAGGGUCUACCA
rnacentral:tRNA from 1 species